AGCUUUGUGCAGUGGUGGUAUUGUAGCCAAAGAGGUUUAUCUGAGGCGCGAUUAUUGCUAAUUGAAUACUUUUUCCAAUACCCCGCCAUGAUGACUUGCAAUAUAGUCGGCAUUGGCAAUUUUUGACAGUCUCUACGGAGG
rnacentral:snRNA from 1 species